AUGAGAAAAAGUCUGGAUUUUGCUACUUUUACUCUAAAAAUGAAAAAAAAAACAGGGAAUAAAAUAAACAGAUUAACAUAAAAAGUCUGAAUUACAUAAAAACGUAUUUUUGCACAAAUUCUCAGCUUCUGUGAUUCAAAGUGAAGGUUUGCUGCCCUCCUGCGACUGAAGGAGCUCACACACCCACGCUGCCUUCACGACACGUAGAAACUCGGACAUCUCAGCUGCGUUUUACUAAAAAUUCGGAUGACAAACACCCGCCGAUUAUAGUGACGUUUAGUAAAAUCACUGUUUAGAUUUAUCCUUUGAUCUGUUGACGUCAUCGUUGUUCGUUUAACGGUAACACGUGAAAUACACACAGCGUGUCCUCCGGUCGCUCCAAGUCUCCGAUCUCCUAUUUAACCCCAGCCCGUGAACGCAGCACCAGGACCAGCCUGCCUCACAUUGUUAACGUUGAUUUCUCCCGUUCAAAGCAGCAUUUUGUCUUCCGUGAGCCGAACCUGGAUCACAGCCUCCCACUAACCGCAUGAAAUCUCGGCUUCGUCAGGCAGCGGGACCCCCACCGGCACACGCCCGAGCAUGAGGAGGAUCGGUGGCCGUUACCCUGCCCAGACCGGAGGCUGCUGGUAGGGAUGGUGUGGCUGUGAAGAGCCGGUGUGACGCGCCUGUGGUCGGGGGAAGAAGUGCCUGGACAACAUGACUGUUUUCAACCCGGAAAAUGUGGAGGAAUUUUAUGACAUCGGGGACGAGCUGGGGAGGUCGUGGUUCUGAGAUUAUUAAUGGGAAAGAAGUCGAGCCACACUCACUGCCUUACAUGGCUUAUGUGAGAAGUGUGACUAAUUCUUGGUGUGGAGGGACAUUAAUCCAUCCACAGUGGGUGCUGACAGCUGCUCACUGCACUGGGAGUUACUGGGUGAUGCUGGGAGCCCACUCCAGAACGAAAAACGAACAUUCCAAGCAACUCCGAGUCGUCGAGAAAAGUUUUCCUCAUCCUGGCUACUGUUGUG